rnacentral:rRNA from 1 species
UACGUAGGGUGCAAGCGUUGUCCGGAUUUAUUGGGCGUAAAGAGCUCGUAGGCGGUUUGUCGCGUCGGAUGUGAAAACCCAGGGCUCAACCCUGGGCCUGCAUUCGAUACGGGCAGACUAGAGUAUGGCAGGGGAGACUGGAAUUCCUGGUGUAGCGGUGAAAUGCGCAGAUAUCAGGAGGAACACCGGUGGCGAAGGCGGGUCUCUGGGCCAAAACUGACGCUGAGAAGCGAAAGCGUGGGGAGCGAACAGG